rnacentral:rRNA from 1 species
UACGUAGGUGGCGAGCGUUGUCCGGAUUUAUUGGGUUUAAAGGGUGCGUAGGCGGCCCGGAUAGUCAGCGGUGAAAUACGGCAGCCCAACUGUCGAGGUGCCGUUGAUACUGCCGGGCUUGAGUGCGUUCGAGGGGGGCGGAAUUGACGGUGUAGCGGUGAAAUGCUUAGAUAUCGUCAAGAACACCGAUAGCGGAGGCAGCCCCCCAGGCCGCCACUGACGCUGAGGCACGAAAGUGCGGGGAUCAAACAGG